CAUAUGUUGUGAAGUGAUUACCUCAGUAAAGCUAAUGCAUUAGGUGGUCAAAGAGGACAACUUUCCCUGAAUAGAGAUGAACCAGUCUUCAGUCAAGGGUAUAGCAGUAACUGAGUUUACAUGCUAGAAUCUCUAAACAAGCUCUCAAAAUAUAUUGCUCACAGGUGAUUAUUUACUGUUGUUACCAUUUUGGUCAUUCCUGUAAGUAAGUAUAAAAUAUUUAAAUUACUUCAUAUAUGCAUCAUGGCUCCCACUUUAU
rnacentral:snRNA from 1 species